UCCGGUAUGGUGUAUCGGCUAGCAUCCGUCGCUUUCAUCCCAGAUGUCAGCUUCCGACGAGAGCCGGGUUCGAUUCCCGGUACCGGAA
rnacentral:tRNA from 1 species